CCCUGCAUGGCACGGUUAAUGGCAGCUACCUGCAAACCAAGGAGAGCAGUCUCAGAAGAAUUCAAACUUGUUAACAUCCUGAUCUUGGACAAUUAGCCUCCGGAAUGGUAAGAAAAUAUAUUUCUUUUGUUUAAGCUGCACAGUCUAUGGUAUUUUGUUAUGGCAGCAAAAGGGUUCUACACUCAGUUAUUGUGUGUGUGCACGUGUGUGUGUGUGUGUGUGUGUGUGUGUGUGUGUGUGUGUGUUGAUUUCCCACACCACCAAUAAUUUUCUGACAACAGCUGGGUGCCCUAUUCAACUCAAUUCUGACAACUAUCUACCUAAUGCUAGCAUCAUAUUCCACAGGGUAAGGGCUCAGUUCUGCAAGACUGCCCUCCUCCCCCAUGCUCCUCUCAGAUGCCAAUUGUAAGCCCAUGUUAUCAUCUGGGUUUCUGACUACAGAUUAGAGAUUUCCAAGACCCUCUCCUCAGGUUAAUUUGCUAGGGAAGCUCACAGAACUUAGAGAAAGACUUUACUUACUAGAUCACCAGAUUAUUAUAAAGCAAUAGAUCUCAGGAACAGACAGAUGGAAGAGAUGCAUAGAGCAAGACUUGGGAAAAGGAUGUGGAGCUACCAUGCUUUGCCACUCUCCUCUGAUCUCCUCAUGUUCACCCACCUGAAAGCUCUCCAAAUACCACCCUUUUAGGUUCUUAUGGAGGUUUUAUUAUAUAGGCAUGCUUGAUUAAAUCAUCAGCUGUUAGUGACUGGACUCACUCUCCAGCCCCUCUCUUCCCAGUAUGUUUGUUUAAGGGUGGAGUGGAACUGAAAGUUUCAACAGUCUAUAAUCACAGGUUGGCUCUCCUGGAAACCAGCCCUCAUCCUUAGGUUUGUUGCAAAAGUCACUUCAUUGGCAACAGAAACAUGUUUAUUGUUUCCAUUCCUUAGGAAAUCCUAAUGGUUUUAGGAGCUCUGUGCUGGAAGGAUGUCAAAAAGUAAACAUAUAUUUCUUCCUAUAAUCGCAAUAUCACACAGCCCUAGCAAGUUAAUUUACCCAUUGAACACUGGUAAUCUCACUUCUCACUUCAUCUGUGUUCUCACCCUUCAUCUAUGUUGGCUGGCUCAUCUUCCAUUUACUUCACAUUUUAUCUAAACUUAUUUUAUUUCCCUUAAUGUCAACUUCUUCCUUAAUUAUUUUCUAAAAGUCCAUAGUCACCUCCAAACAGAUCACUUUGAAAUCUAUAUAUUUAUUUCCACAGCUCAUAUAAAAUAUGUCUCCUUGUUCUGUUAUCAGCUGCACAGCUUCACCUCAGUGAUACACCAGCCCGAUUCUGUAUACACAAAAUUAGACUUGUCUCCGUAUGUUCAAGGCAUUGUGUACUUUUUGUAUCCUUGUCUAUUAUAUACAUGGCCCAUAUCCUAUUUAUGGUGCCACGGUUUUCUCUCAUUUUAAUCACUGAAACUCCUGUAUUUAUCCCUCUGCAGCAUCUCUCAAUUUAUUUCCUUUUCCAUGUUGCUAUCACUGGAGUUCAGGUCAUGAUACUAAUGGAAAACUUCAGCCUCUCUAGCUGAAUUGAAGCCCUCUGUAUUCUACCCCCAAGAAACAGCAGCGCUGAUGGAGGUCUGGUGAAGAAUAUUAUUAGGUCAUGGCGCUGAGAGGCUUCCAAAUUUCCUCACUUUCAUUGCUUCACCUGUGCUGUGAAGAAAAGCUGUAACUUUUGCUAUGUUCCUAAGAGAAGGUAUGCAUGCUCUCACUAAUGUGACAGGUGACCAACAGGCCACACUUUCUCUUUUUCCAGUAUGCUCCUGAGUUCAUCUUUCUUUUAAAGCAGUGCUGACCAAGUUGAGGUAUUACACAUAAUCAACUAGCAUGUGGUUUGCACAUUUUUUUUUGCACUGGAAGAAUGUGGACAUGAAUUGCUGACUAUCUCAGUGUGUAAAAUCCUCAACAUAUAAAUCUACGUAAAGUGCAAUCAUCAAAUCACGGUGUACUGCAUUGCUGCAGGAGCUGUAUAUACGGACGUGAAGCACAUAUUAGUGCCAGGGGCAGUCAAGUACAAAGAGCACUAUAACACAGAGAGUACUCAGUGCUAUAAUAGAACAAAGAGCAAAGUCAUCCAGGAACAACACAUGAUGAAGAAACCAAGAGCAGAAUGGUUAAGUACCUUACAACCCCCCAUUUAAAUUACAGAUGAAGAAAACUUCUAAAAGCUAAGAAAGUCACUCAAACCAAUAAACAAAACAGAAUUAAGAUUCACAUCCAUGUGUUCUUGAGUCCAU